rfam:Streptomyces aurantiacus JA 4570 Seq325, whole genome shotgun sequence.
CUUCAACGAGCCCAGCCACAAGGGCUGUUCGCCGGAGUGCUCCUUGCCGUACGUCGCGAUCAGGGCCUGGGCCUC